rnacentral:lncRNA from 1 species
UCUUCUACUAUAUAAUCCCCCUCUACCUCUCAUUUGUAAAUCAUCUAAUAUUUUAUCAAAAACUCUUUCUAAGUUAGAUCACUCUCUCUUGUUCUUUCUUUGGUGUGUAAUAUCCAUAGGCAAGUCCAAGUUCGGUAAAUCAAAGGCUCUUCCGCAACCUUUGUGCGACCAUUCGCUCCACAUCAUUUGAUUUAAGAGAUCCCCCGAUCCCUUAGGUGCAAAGCC